rnacentral:rRNA from 1 species
AUGUUUCAAGUCUUUCCGAGCAUUUACAGCCGUUAUCCUGUCCGAAUUCUCCUAGAAAUUCUAAUGCCUUUGCAUUAUUUCGUGCUUUCAGAUGGCCACCCGUUCCCAGAAUCAAGUGGUUCGUCUGACCGGUGCCUCGAUGUACCUGGUCACACGGCCAUGCUGGUCCGAGUGAUGGUUGAGACAGGCUAUCGAUGGUAUCCCGAGUAUACCGUCGAGGAGCAGUUUCGAGACUUUAAUCAAAGCCAAUAUUUUUGCACAGUCAGGAUUUACCCUUCCUAUCCUGGAUCCACUGAACCCCUCCAUUGCUCUUAUGGACUUGGGGUUACCAUCGAGAUGUCCGUGCAGGACGCAGCUUACUCAAUGAUGACUAUCAUACGAGCCAGAACUGCCUUGCUUCAGAACACUGACUUCCGCUAUAUGCCAGCAUCAUUCCCUGGGGCACAAGGGUACUAUCAGGCUAUUUACUGUGAUCCUACCCAUGAGGAUUCACUACUCCGCACCACCACCGAGAUGCUUGAGGACAAGGACCGUGAGAAUCGUGCCUUGUGA